GUCAUUUUAACUUUGGAGGAAUUAAGUGAGAUUUGACCGAAGUUUCAGAGAGUGCUACAGUAAAUAAUCCUUUAAAAUAUGUGUCAAGUGCCAUUAUUAUCUAUUACUUUUUAUAUUUAAUAUUUUAAUUCGAAAAAACAUUUUCACGAGUGGCUCAGUUGCUUUUUCACCAGCUAUGAGUUGAUGAGCUCAGGUCUUAUAUUCUUCAACGUGCGAG
rnacentral:lncRNA from 1 species